ensembl:lncRNA
GCAUUAUACGCAUUAAUUUGAGUGAUUAUUCAUAUUAGAGCAUGUGCACAAGGUUUUGACUGUUAUUUUUUGUUUCCUUGAGGAUGUCAAAGACCUUUUUGCUAGGCAUGUACCUCCUUUAUUUUUUUUAUUUAUUUAUUUUUUUGAAGGCCUCAGUGACAGUCUUGGUUCACUAAAAUGUAUUAGAAAUUAUUUUGGUACACUAUUGUGAAUAUNAAAAAAUGAUAUAUAGAAGUUAUAUUUAAUUUUUUACAUUUAUUUACAUAUAAGUCACAUUAAAGAUCCACUUGGCUUACUAAUGCAAGGGGGCCCAUGACACAGUUUGGUGGGUAGACUGUGUGAACGUAACUUCAUGUGUACUGUUUUUUUUUUUUUUUUUUUUUCAUAGCAUAAAUGUAAAAGGCUUGCGUUUCUGAGUGAUUGAUUAGAUGAGUGAGUAAUGUGUGUGUGAGUGUGUGUUUACCAGUUAACACAGCAGGGAGUGGACAGAAGGGCCAAGUGUGACAGGUGGACAGGCGUGAUAAGGAGAGAGCGGUGCAGACCAGAGCUCAGCAGAAGCAGAGCCCAGGAGAAUAUCCAGCCAAAAGCAGCUAAUAGCUGAUACUCAUCAGAGAUAGAGCCGCUGAAGAUUUCUUGUCUCUGUGGAAUAGUCGUUCAUUUCGCUUCAGCCCAAAUUCUCCUCCCUAAAAAUGUACUGUAUUUCGUACAGUCGUAAAAAGAUGUUGUUAAUCAAGUUUAAUACAAAAGGACAAUCAAUGCUGGGACUGAAGGAAUAUGCCAUGAUUUUACAGAUUUCACAUCAGUGUAUCCUAGAGUUUCAGAAGAGAUCUCAGCAAUGUUGUAACUGCAACAUGGGACGAAAAGGAAAAUUCAGAGGGAGCGAGAAUAAUAAAUGCAAAUUAUGA